rnacentral:rRNA from 1 species
AGAGUUUGAUCAUGGCUCAGAUUGAACGCUGGCGGAAUGCUUUACACAUGCAAGUCGAACGGCAGCACGGGAGCUUGCUCCUGGUGGCGAGUGGCGAACGGGUGAGUAAUAUAUCGGAACGUACCCCGUCUGGGGGAUAACUCUCCGAAAGGAGUGCUAAUACCGCAUACGACCUGAGGGUGAAAGCGGGGGACCUGCAAGGGCCUCGCGCGAUGGGAGCGGCCGAUAUCGGAUUAGCUAGUUGGUGAGGUAAAGGCUCACCAAGGCGACGAUCCGUAGCGGGUCUGAGAGGACGACCCGCCACACUGGAACUGAGACACGGUCCAGACUCCUACGGGAGGCAGCAGUGGGGAAUUUUGGACAAUGGGGAAACCCUGAUCCAGCCAUUCCGCGUGAGUGAAGAAGGCCUUCGGGUUGUAAAGCUCUUUCAGCAGGAACGAAACGGUAGGCUUUAAUACAGUCUGCUAAUGACGGUACCUGCAGAAGAAGCACCGGCUAACUACGUG